CCCUUAGAUGUUCUGGGCCGCACGCGUGCUACACUGAGUAAUUCAAUGGGUAAGGGAACGCUAGAGCAUUACCUAAUCUUGAAAUUCGCUCGUGAUGGGGAUCGACGGUUGCAAUUUUCCGUCGUGAACGAGGAAUACCUUGUAGGCGCAUGUCAUCAUCAUGCGCCGAAUACGUCCCUGCCCUUUGUACACACCGCCCGUCGCUCCUACCGAUUGAGUGAUCCGGUGAGGCUCUGGGACCUGGACGGAAAGAGCGUUUCGCUUGUUCUGUUUGGGAAACUUGGUCGAACCUUAUCAUUUAGAGGAAGGAGAAGUCGUAACA
rnacentral:rRNA from 1 species